CCAUGACAGUAAUCUGUUCCGUUCAAGUUGGCGGAUUUUUGACACCUUCAUUAGCCACUCUUUCCAAUACUUAGUCCUGGGGUUUGUUCCUGUUUUUCUUUCGGCCUUAUAGCCAACUUUCCACCCCUUUUCUUCUCUAUGUCCAGUGUGUCUUUCGUGUUCCUUUCUUGUCCUGUGUUCUCCCUAUCCUGUUCCCUUUCACAACUUCACUCACUCUUGUUUUUCUUUUAUGAAAUAAAUAUUCAAUAUUUAUUUCAUAAAUAUUACUCAAUCCCUUUCCCUGCUCUGUCAUACUUUUUGUCUCUCUCUGUCUCGCUUCCUGCCUGCGUCUUUAUUUUUCCCUCUUUGUCUUGCACUAUGCCUGUAUUUCUUUGUCCCCCUUACUGUCCUUUUGCCUGUACCUGUCUGCACCUGCCCAACCCUUCUCCCUCAUUGUAUCCUUGUCUUGAUAAGCCUCUGCCCUGCUGGCCAUGUCUCUCUUUUUCCAUCCCUGUGCUGGGCCUUGCCUGCCUUCCCCACACCUGCACGUGCCAUGGUUGUUUCCUCUCUCAGUCCUCGUUUCUCUCUUUGUCUCUGUAUCCCUCUUGUCCUUGCUGUCUGUUCGGCACUCUUUUUCUCUGUCCUCCUCCAUGCCUCAUGUUCCUUUCUAUUCCCUGUGGCUCUGUGGUGCUCCCCGUGCCAUUGUUCCUCAUGGAACCUAUGUGUCCAGUUCGCUGUCCCUGUUCUUUUUUAAUCCCUCUCUGUCAUGCUACCCAUCCCAGGGAUUUUCUUUUUUUGUUGUUGUUGUUGUUGGUUUUUGGGUUUGUUUUUUUUUUUUUUUGGUCAAUUUUGUCCUGCACCCCGUACUUCCUUUUCUUCCUGUGUCACUCCCUCUUUCCGCCCCUGGCCUGUGAGAGCAAGGUUCGGGAAGAACUUCAGCCCUUCUGGGGGCUGCCCUCCUUUCUUGUUGCAGCAGAGUCCCUUUUGGGAGGAAUGGACAUCUGGAAAGUAAUUAAAGGAAG
rnacentral:lncRNA from 1 species